GCCCAGGAAGGGCACGGAAGCUCUGUAUCCCCUUAUCUCACCACUCAGCUGUUCCUGAGCUGUAGCCUUUAUCAUAAGACUGUAACGGAAAUACGGCACUUACAUGAGUAUUUCCAGGGAAUUGCUGAACCCGAGGGGAGCCGCAGGAACCCCUAAAUGUGUAGUCGGUAGGGCAGAAGUGCAGCAGUCGGGGGAGCCUGGGCUGUGAUGUGUCAGAAGUGGAGACAGCCUUCUGGGGUUGCGAGAGCCCCAUGGUGGCCGAGCGCACACAGUGCUGUUGCCGUGGGCAUGAGGGAUCUCACAGGCCGAUGGACUCGGAAAGCGAGGCCUGGAACACAGAUCGCGUGGCUCCUGAAGAGCGCCUUGCACUGUAACAAAUCUCAAGCUCUCCCUUUCAGAAUUUGUCAUACAUUUUUAAACUACGGACCUACGGAAAAGAGAAACGCUAUGUCUUGUCUUCGAUCCCUCGGGUGCAGAUCUGCAUCCCGCCUGGGGAGAAGGAGCCCUGAAUCGUCUGUGGGCCGCUUGGCAUCUGAGAGUCCAGCCCCAGGGCCGAUUUCCCAGUUACAGAAGCGAAAACGUUCGCGUUUUGGACAAAAGCCGGUUCGAGUUGGACUUCUUACCUCACAGCUGAAAGCCCCAGUUACUGCGAAGGGCCCGUUACCCAAUUCCUCUUCCGGAAGCAGGAGAGCUACUUUGUGGUAUCCGAAAUACAGUUUCGCGGAGCGGCAAAAAACACACCGGCCGGCUGGCGGCGCCCGCGGGCCUCUCCAGGCCUCUGCCCACCCGAGCGAGCUGGAAGCUCCGGGAGCGGCAGGGGAUUCCGAGCCCUGCAGGGGGCGCUGUGAGCUCCUCAGCUCUGCCUUCGGCUCGGCCUCUCACACCGCGCUGGGAGCACCGUCCGAGGUCGCAGGAUCUGAAACACCCUAG
rnacentral:lncRNA from 1 species